UACGUAGGGUGCAAGCGUUUGUCCGGAAUUAUUGGGCGUAAAGAGCUCGUAGGCGGUCUGUUACGUCGGCUGUGAAAACCUGGGGCUCAACCCCGGGCCUGCAACCGAUACGGGCAGACUAGAAUUCGGUAGGGGAGACUGGAAUUCCUGGUGUAGCGGUGAAAUGCGCAGAUAUCAGGAGGAACACCGAUGGGCGAAGGCAGGUC
rnacentral:rRNA from 1 species